rnacentral:tRNA from 2 species
GUCCCGGUAGCUCAGCUGGUUAGAGCGCACGGCUGUUAACCGUGAGGUCGGAGGUUCAAGUCCUCUCCGGGACG